UCUCAGUCUACCUUAAAAGCCUACCUAUUUGGCUUUCACUAGAGUUCAGAUACAUAAAACAAAUAUCUUUGCUUUGGCUUCCCUUGAGUCAUAUCAAUCUACACCUCAUCAAGAAUAUGAAGUUUGGAAGAACAAAGAAGCAAUUGAGCAUCCUAAACUCAACGGGCAAGUAACAUGGACAUUGAUACACCAAGUUCCUUCUUGUUUUUCCUUGAAAGUUGGCUUGAUGAAUGUAUUCUGCAGGGAUUUUAAAGGUGUGGAAAUGAAGCAGACAUCAAGGACUGCUGCAGUUUACUGGGGGUCCACUCCAGACCUUAGUUGCUUCAGUUUUUCCCUGUACCUGGAGGUAUCGUCAGUGAAGCCUGCAAAACAGCAAAGAUGGCAGCCUGCUCCUUCCUCUGGAAGCUCCAUCCCAGGGAUGCACUGACCUGUUGCCAGAAGGAACAUGCCUGUAGGAGGUGGCUGGAGACCCCUGCUGGGAGGUCCCACCCACUCGGGAGGAAUGGGAUCAGGGACCCACCCCAAGAAGCCCUCUGGCUGCCCUUUGGUAGAGUAGGUGCCAGGAGACCCUUCCUUGCCUGGACCAUUUGUAUUUUCCAAAGUUGGCAGGCUGGAAUGGCUGAGUUUACCAAACUGCAGAGAUGACAGCUGCUCUUCCCCUGUGAGCUUCAUUCCAGGGAGAGAUCAGAACUUUGUCUGUAGAACCCUUGCUUGUGUGGCUGAAGCCCCUGCAGGGAGGACUUGCCCAGUGAAGAGGAAUAGAUUGAGGUACCGCUUAAAGAAGCAGUCUGGCCAUGAUCUGGCAAGGCAGCUGUGCUGUGCUGCAGGGAACCUCUCCUUGCUCGAACUUCUUGUAUUCUUCAAAGCUAGCAGGCUGAAACCAAUAAAUUUAAAUUUAAAUAGGUAAAAAUAAGUAAAUAAAGAUAAAGAAAAAUAAAUUGACUGAUUUAUUCUGCCUUCAGGAGCUCUUAGAUGAUGUAGGAAAACAAAUAAUACUGUACAAUCAAAGUCGAAAUUCCUUAAGCAGAGGGUCUUAUGAGAACACAAAGGGAAGGCAACUGGAGCUUUACAGAUGACUUCCUAGACUAGAGAUACCUGAUGUGGGUCUUUAGGGUUAAGUCAUUAAUAGCAAGGCCAAGUAGAGGAAGAGCAUAUCCUACAGAGAAAAAAAGAAUAAGCAAAGGCUGGCUGUUGAGAGAAUUGCAAGUGCUUAGUAUGACUAUAGCGGUAGUCUCA
rnacentral:lncRNA from 10 species